rnacentral:rRNA from 1 species
AUUGAACGCUGGCGGCAGGCUUAACACAUGCAAGUCGAGCGGAGUGAUGGUGCUUGCACUAUCACUUAGCGGCGGACGGGUGAGUAAUGCUUAGGAAUCUGCCUAUUAGUGGGGGACAACAUUUCGAAAGGAAUGCUAAUACCGCAUACGUCCUACGGGAGAAAGCAGGGGAUCUUCGGACCUUGCGCUAAUAGAUGAGCCUAAGUCGGAUUAGCUAGUUGGUGGGGUAAAGGCCUACCAAGGCGACGAUCUGUAGCGGGUCUGAGAGGAUGAUCCGCCACACUGGGACUGAGACACGGCCCAGACUCCUACGGGAGGCAGCAGUGGGGAAUAUUGGACAAUGGGCGCAAGCCUGAUCCAGCCAUGCCGCGUGUGUGAAGAAGGCCUUAUGGUUGUAAAGCACUUUAAGCGAGGAGGAGGCUACUGAAGUUAAUACCUUCAGAUAGUGGACGUUACUCGCAGAAUAAGCACCGGCUAACUCUGUGCCAGCAGCCGCGGUAAUACAGAGGGUGCAAGCGUUAAUCGGAUUUACUGGGCGUAAAGCGCGCGUAGGCGGCUAAUUAAGUCAAAUGUGAAAUCCCCGAGCUUAACUUGGGAAUUGCAUUCGAUACUGGUUAGCUAGAGUGUGGGAGAGGAUGGUAGAAUUCCAGGU